GACAGAGGGUGCAAACGUUGUUCGGAAUUACUGGGCGUAAAGCGCGUGUAGGCGGCCACGCCAGUCGGAUGUGAAAGCCCUUGGCUCAACCGAGGAAGUGCAUCCGAUACUACGUGGCUAGAGUCCUGGAGAGGAAGGUGGAAUGCUCGGUGUAGAGGUGAAAUUCGUAGAUAUCGAGCGGAACACCUGUGGCGAAGGCGGCCUUCUGGACAGUGACUGACGCUGAGACGCGAAAGCGUGGGGAG
rnacentral:rRNA from 1 species